GACGAACGCUGGCGGCGUGCUUAACACAUGCAAGUCGAACGGUGAAGCCCUUCGCGGUGGAUCAGUGGCGGACGGGUGAGUAACACGUGAGCAACCUGCCCCUGGCUCUGGGACAACCACUGGAAAAGGUGGCUAAUACCUGGUUAGACCCGGAUCGGCUUCGUGUGUGGGUGGAUAGGUGUUCGGCAGGGGCUGGGCCCGUGGCCGAUCAGCUUGUUGGUGAGGUGAAGGUUCACGAAGGCGUGGACGGGUAGCCGGCCUGAGAGGGCGACCGGCCACACUGGGACUGAGACACGGCCCAGACUCCUACGGGAGGCAGCAGUGGGGAAUAUUGCACAGUGGGCGAGAGCCUGAUGCAGCGACGCCGCGUGGGUGGUGACGGCCUUCGGGUUGUAAACCUCUUUCGGCUCGGAAGAAGCGAAAGUGACGGUAGGUGCAGAAGAAGCGCCGGCUAACUACGUG
rnacentral:rRNA from 1 species